rnacentral:rRNA from 1 species
GACGAACGCUGGCGGCGUGCUUAACACAUGCAAGUAGAACGAGUGGCGGACGGGUGAGUAAUGUCUGGGAAACUGCCCGAUGGAGGGGGAUAACUACUGGAAACGGUAACUAAUACCGCAUACCAUCGGAUGUGCCCAGAUGGGAUUAGCUUGUAGGUGAGGUAACGGCUCACCUAGGCGACGAUCCCUAGCUGGUCUGAGAUGAUGACCAGCCACACUGGAACUGAGACACGGUCCAGACUCCUACGGGAGGCAGCAGUGGGGAAUAUUGCACAAUGGGCGCAAGCCUGAUGCAGCCAUGCCGCGUGUAUGAAGAAUGCCUUCGGGGUGUAAAGUACUUUCAGCGGGGAGGCGUUACCCGCAGAAGAAGCACCGGCUAACUCCGUGCCAGCAGCCGCGGUAAUC